rnacentral:rRNA from 1 species
UACGAAGGGGGCUAGCGUUGCUCGGAAUUACUGGGCGUAAAGGGUGUGUAGGCGGAUACUUAAGUCGGGGGGUGAAAGCCCAGGGCUCAACCCUGGAAUAGCCUUCGAUACUGGGUAUCUUGAGUUCGGGAGAGGUAAGUGGAACUCCGAGUGUAGAGGUGAAAUUCGUAGAUAUUCGGAAGAGCACCAGUGGCGAAGGCGACUUAACUGGCCCGAUACUGACGCUGAAACACGAA